GACGAACGCUGGCGGCGUGCCUAAUACAUGCAAGUCGAGCGAGCGGCGGACGGGUGAGGAAUGUCUGGGAAACUGCCUGAUGGGGGGGGAGAACGACAGGAAACGGUAGUUACGAACGCAUACAAUCAGAUGUGCCCAGAUGGGAUUAGCUGGUAGGUGGGGUAACGGCUCACCAAGGCGACGAUCCCUAGCUGGUCUGAGAGGAUGACCAGCCACACUGGAACUGAGACACGGUCCAGACUCCGACGGGAGGCAGCAGUGGGGAAUAUUGCACAAGGGGCGAAAGCCUGAUGCAGCCAUGCCGCGUGUGUGAAGAAGGCCUUCGGGUUGUAAAGCACUUUCAGCGGGGAGGCGUUACCCGCAGAAGAAGCACCGGCUAACUCCGUGCCAGCAGCCGCGGUAAUUC
rnacentral:rRNA from 1 species